GCUGGUUUAACUGGUUUACCAACUCUUUCUCCCGCUCAUUCUACCGCUCACGUAGGUUACCUGCCUAUCUCUCAGGCCUCGGCUACACCACGAAAACGUCAGGCAUAUUUGUACAUACUAGAGGGGGGGGUAAUUCACACA